UCUCCCCCCAUCUCUCCCCGUCCACUGCCAGCCAGCCAGCAGCCAUGGGCUUCCUGCACCAGCUUCACCUCUUGCUGUGGAAAAACAUUACACUGAAACGCCGGAGCCCGUGGGUCUUGGCGUUCGAGAUCUUCAUCCCACUGGUUCUCUUCUUCAUCUUGCUGGGACUCCGACAGAAGAAACCAACUAUUCCUGUCAAAGAAGCAUUCUACACAGCUGCACCACUGACAUCGGCUGGGAUACUCCCUGUGAUGCAGUCUCUAUGCCCCGAUGGCCAGAGGGAUGAGUUCGGAUUCCUGCAGUAUUCCAACUCUACGGUCACCCAGUUGCUUGAACGCAUCAACGAGGUGGUGGAGGAGAGCAAUCUGUUUGACCCCGAUCGCCCAGGUCUUGAAGAAGAGUUGGAAUCACUCCGACGACAUCUGGAGUCGAUGAACAAUGACCCCAGCUCCGUGGAGAACCACUUCAAUAACACUUAUGGAUUCACUCUGGGAUCAGUUGUAAAGGACCGGGCUGAACUACAACACUUCCUGACACACAACCUGUCCAUUUCCAAUGAAACAGCUGGACUUCUGCUCGGGUCAAAUGUUAACUUGAAGGAGCUAUUCCGUCUUUGCUUUGGGUCCUAUCCAUCAGCUGUGGACAGUGAGCUGGACAGUGAUAAUUGGGAUGCAUUUGGUGCCGGAGAGAAACUCAUGCAGUUGGAGGAACAUCUUCUGGGAGGAUGGCGGGAGAUCGAGGGAGGACUUAUCCACAAGGCACUAAGUGACCCAGGGAAAGUGACGAAUCGACAAAAACUGGUGCAACUGUUGGCACAAGCGCUUGGCCUGGCAGGGUCCAGUAAUUCCACCGAUGGCUAUGAUCCACAGGGACUUGUUGGGGAGAUGGAGAAUAUUCUGUUUGUGCCCAACGUAUUGGAAUCCUUGACGUGCAACGAUGAGAAGGAUGACCUGCAGAAGGUGCUGAUGAUCCCAGCAUCCCAGACGGCCCGGCUCAAACAUUACCGAGGAGUUGUGUGUAACACCAGCUCCAGAGUGCGGAAGGAACACUUCCAGCAACUCGCCCACGAACUGAAAAGCCAGGUGGACAUCCGGAAAAUCGUGGAGAAGUUGAAGCUGAACGAGGUCAACCACACAGCAGUGCAGCAUCAUCUCCAGGCCCUGCUUGAAGACCUGGUCGAGGUGGAAAAGAUUCUGAAAGACGUGGACGCAUUGUCGAGUCUGGCCAGGCUGUUGCCCAAAGGAGCGUGCGCUGGGAAAAGCCCGUCCACAGCCGCCAACAGUAGCAGCUGGAGCAGCAACUUCACCACCGCCAACUCCACCGCAGAGGAGGGAGAUGAGGCCCAGACGGAGAACCCUCACACUCAGUUCUCAGCUUUCGUUCAGCUCUGGGCUGGUCUGCAGCCAAUCCUCUGUGGCAACAACAGAACGAUAGAACCGGAGGCACUGAAGCAGGGCAACAUGAGCUCGUUGGGCUUCACCAGCAAGGAACAACGCAACCUAGGAUUACUGGUGCAUCUCAUGACCACCAACCCCAAAAUCCUAUAUUCACCAGUUGGCACAGAGGUGGACAAAGUCAUAGAAAAGGCUAAUGAAACGUUUGCGUUUGUUGGGAACGUCACUCAUUACGCCAGAGUCUGGCUGAACAUAUCGUCCGAAAUCCGUACCUUUCUGGAAGAAGGCAAGCUACAGAAUCGCAUCAGCUGGCUACAGCAAUUCACCUCCGAUUUGAAGAGGCGCCCAGAGGUACUGAACGCCUCCGACAGCGAUAUCAUCAGGAACUUCAUCAACAGCAACUUCUCCAUGCCCAACUCCAGCAGUCUGCUCCAGCAACUGGACACCAUCGAUAACGCAGCCUGUGGGUGGAUACAGUUCAUGUCCAAGGUGAGUGUGGACAUAUUUAAGGGCUUCCCCAAUGAGGAGAGCAUCGUCAACUACACCUUGAACCGAGCGUAUCAUGAAAAUGUCACCGUAUUUGCCAGUGUGAUAUUUCAGACCAAGGAGGACGGCACUCUUCCCCCUCAUGUGAUGUUGAAAAUACGCCAAAACUCCAGCUUUACGGAGAAGACCAAUGAAAUCCGUCGUGCCUACUGGAGGCCCGGCCCCAACACCGGAGGGAGGUUCUAUUUCCUCUAUGGCUUUGUCUGGAUUCAAGAUAUGAUGGAACGGGCCAUCAUCAACACGUUUGUGGGCCAUGAUGUGGUGGAGCCCGGGAACUAUGUGCAGAUGUUCCCCUACCCCUGCUACACUAGGGAUGAUUUCCUGUUUGUGAUUGAGCACAUGAUGCCACUCUGCAUGGUCAUAUCCUGGGUCUACUCUGUGGCGAUGAUGAUACAACACAUUGUCGCUGAGAAGGAACACCGGCUCAAAGAGGUGAUGAAGAUGAUGGGGUUGAACAAUGCCGUGCACUGGGUUGCCUGGUUCAUCACCGGCUUCGUGCAGCUCUCCAUUUCGGUCACUGCCCUGACGGGUAUCCUCAAAUACGGCAAGGUCCUGAUGCACAGUGACCCCUUCAUCAUCUGGCUGUUCCUCACCAUCUACGCCAUUGCCACCAUCAUGUUCUGUUUCCUGAUCUCUGUGGUCUACUCCAAGGCAAAGCUAGCCUCAGCGUGUGGUGGGAUCAUAUACUUCCUCAGCUAUGUCCCUUACAUGUAUGUAGCUAUUCGUGAAGAGGUGGCUCAUGAUAGGAUCACGGCCUUUGAGAAGUGUAUAGCGUCACUCAUGUCCACGACUGCGUUCGGCCUUGGCUCCAAGUACUUUGCUCUGUAUGAGGUAUCGGGAGUUGGCAUUCAGUGGCACACCCUCAACCAGUCACCGGUGGAAGGAGAUGACUUCAACCUGCUUCUGUCCAUGGUCAUGUUGAUUGUAGAUGCUACAGUCUACGGAGUGCUGACAUGGUACAUCGAGGCUGUACAUCCAGGGAUGUAUGGGCUUCCCAGACCAUGGUACUUCCCUUUCCAGAAGUCCUACUGGUUGGGGAAUGGGCGGAUUGAGACGUGGGAAUGGAGUUGGCCUUGGGCGAAGAGCAGCAGGCUCAGCAUUAUGGAGGAUGACCAAGCCUGUGCCAUGGAGAGCAGGAGACUCGAAGAGACUCGGGGGAUAGAGGAGGAACCGAGCCAUUUGCCUUUGGUGGUGUGCAUUGACAAGCUGACCAAGGUCUACAAGACUGGGAAGAAACUGGCUCUGAACAAGCUCAGCCUCAACUUGCAUGAGAACCAGGUGGUGUCAUUCCUGGGCCACAAUGGUGCGGGGAAAACCACCACCAUGUCCAUUCUGACGGGAUUGUUCCCACCCUCGGCGGGUUCGGCCACGAUCUAUGGGCACGACAUCCGGACAGAGAUGGAUGAAAUCAGGAAGAACCUGGGCAUGUGCCCGCAGCACAAUGUGCUGUUUGACAAGCUGACGGUGGAGGAGCACCUGUGGUUUUACUCCCGCCUCAAGGGGAUGGCGGAGGAUGAGAUUCGAAAAGAAAUGGAUAAAAUGAUUGAAGACUUGGAGUUGUCCAACAAGAGGCACUUCCUGGUACAGACAUUGUCGGGAGGAAUGAAGAGGAAACUAUCUGUGGCCAUUGCCUUUGUUGGAGGAUCCAAGGCCAUCAUUCUUGAUGAACCAACAGCAGGAGUUGACCCAUAUGCACGGCGAGCCAUCUGGGACCUGAUCCUGAAAUACAAACAAGGUCGGACAAUUCUCCUGUCCACACAUUACAUGGACGAGGCCGAUCUGCUUGGAGACCGUAUCGCGAUCAUUUCGCACGGGAAGUUGAAGUGUUGCGGGUCGCCGCUGUUUCUCAAAAGCACCUACGGGGACGGCUACAAGUUGACUGUGGUGAAGAAACAGCAUGACUCACAAACUAACUCAGAUUCAGGACAGGAUUGCAGCCCUUCGUUGCAUUCUGCUUGCUUGGAAUCUAAGGUGACUCAGUUUAUUAAAAAGUAUGUGGUGUCCACAAUACUGAUGAUGGACACAAACACGGAGAUAUCGUACAUUCUGCCGUCGGAAGCUGUGAAGAAGGGAUGCUUCGAGAGGCUUUUCCAGGCCCUGGACCUCAACUUGGAAGACCUGAAUUUGACGAGUUUCGGUCUGAUGGACACAACACUGGAGGAGGUUUUCUUGAAAGUUUCUGAAGAAGACCAGUCCUUGGAGAACAGCGACAUAGAUGACAAGGAUUUGGGGAAGGAUGUGAUGCAGACACCACAGGCGGACCAGAGAAAUGGGCGCCACAAGGUCACCCCUCCUAAAGAAAGUUCCCGCCCGGUGAAAGUGAAUGUGAGCAAUCUGGUGACUUGUUCCACACUGAGUCAGUCCCAGUCCUCCGUCCACUCCUCCUCCUCUGUUGGCUCCGUGCGUGGAGACGAGAUGAGAGGGUACUCUGAAUUCUACGGAGACUACACCCCUCUGUUUGACAACCUGGUUGAUGCGGACAAUCUCAGUCUACAAGCAGAACGUGAAGCAGAGCUGAAGAGCUUUGUUCUGGAGGGCCAAGGCAGCACCAAGCUGGAGGGCUCUUGGCUGAAGUUGUGCCAGUUCUGUGGGCUGAUCGUCAAACGCUACCACUGUGCCAAGCGCAACACCAAGAGUCUCUUCUCACAGAUCCUGCUCCCAGCGUUCUUUGUGUGUGUGGCCAUGACUGUGGCUCUGUCGGUCCCCGAGAUCGGGGACCUGCCUCCUCUGAUCCUGUCCCCGUCCCAGUACCACAAUUACACGCAGCCCCGAGGAAACUUCAUUCCCUACGCAGACGAAGAGAGGAACGAGUACAGGAUAAAGCUGUCACCAGAUGCCAGCCCCCAGCAGCUAGCAAACACCUUCUACCUGCCCUCGGGGAUUGGAGCUACCUGUGUUCUCAAGACUCCGUACAACAGCACGUUAGACCAGUUGGUGCAGACAUUGAACCUGUCUACCAGUGAGACGAAGAUGUUGGCAUCCAAGUACUUUGACUCGAUGUGCCUGGACUCUUUCACACAAGGCUUGCCUCUGUCAAACUUUGUUCCUCUGCCCCCUUCACCUGCCCCAUCAGACUUCCCCGAUACUGGAGCUGAUGAAGGGACGCACCUGUGGAAUUUCACAUCACCUGUGACAAUGAAAGAAACAUUCACGUCGUCUCCGUCCGUCCCACACCCCAUCCACGAGCUGGUCCGGUGUAGCUGCUCCAUGCAGGGCACGGGCUUCUCCUGCCCCAGUGGGGUGGGGGGCCACCCCCCCCAGAAGAAGGUGGUGACGGGCGACAUCAUGGUGGACAUCUCAGGCCGCAACGUGUCCGAGUAUAUCCUGCAUACAUCAGACCGCUUCAGGCUUCAUAGAUAUGGAGGACUGACGUUCGGGAACGUUCUCAAAUCGAUACCAGCGUCAUUCAGCACCCAGGCAGCUCCAAUGGUGCGGAAGAUCGCAGUAAGGAGAACAGCACAGGCUUUUUACAACAACAAAGGUUAUCACAGCAUGCCGACGUACCUGAACACCCUGAACAAUGCCAUCCUACGAGCCAACCUACCCAAGAGCAAAGGCAACCCUGCUGGAUAUGGCAUCACGGUGACAAACCAUCCAAUGAACAAGACCAGUGCCAGCUUGUCCCUUGACUACCUCCUGCAGGGCACAGAUGUGGUCAUCGCGAUUUUCAUCAUCGUGGCCAUGUCCUUUGUCCCGGCCAGCUUUGUGGUGUUUCUAGUGGCAGAGAAAUCGACCAAAGCCAAACACCUGCAGUUUGUCAGUGGAUGUGACCCAGUGAUCUACUGGCUCGCCAACUAUGUGUGGGACAUGUUGAAUUACUUGGUGCCAGCGACCUGCUGUAUCAUCAUUCUGUUUGUGUUUGACCUGCCCGCCUACACGUCGCCAACUAACUUCCCAGCCGUUCUCGCACUCUUCUUGUUAUACGGGUGGUCAAUCACGCCGAUAAUGUAUCCAGCAUCCUUCUGGUUUGAGGUUCCCAGCACGGCAUACGUCUUCCUAAUCGUCAUCAACCUCUUCAUCGGUAUCACGGCCACAGUGGCCACGUUCCUGCUUCAACUCUUUGAACACGACAAGGAUUUGAAAGCUGUGAACGGCUACCUGAAAUCCUGUUUCCUCAUUUUCCCAAACUAUAACCUGGGACAUGGAUUGAUGGAGAUGGCGUACAACGAGUACAUCAAUGAAUACUAUGCAAAGAUAGGCCAGUUUGGAAAGAUGAAGUCUCCCUUUGAAUGGGACAUUGUUACACGAGGGCUUGUAGCAAUGACUAUAGAAGGAUUUGUGGGUUUCUUCAUUACUAUCAUGUGCCAGUACAACUUCUUCCGAAAGCCACAGCGUCUGCCGGUUUCUAACAAGCCAAUUGAGGAUGAUGACAUUGACGUGGGUAACGAGAGGAGGCGUGUGCUACGUGGAGAUGCCGACACUGAUGUCCUGAAAAUACAGAACCUGACAAAGGUGUACAAGUCUCGGCGGAUGGGCCGGAUCCUGGCGGUGGACCGCCUCUGUGCCGGUGUGAGGCCGGGGGAAUGCUUCGGUCUACUGGGAGUGAACGGGGCUGGGAAGACCACCACGUUCAAGAUGUUGACUGGAGACGAGAGCACCACCGGCGGAGAGGCCUUUGUUAACGGAAACAGCAUCCUCAAGGACUUGUUGAAGGUUCAGCAGAGUAUCGGAUACUGCCCUCAGUUUGAUGCGCUGUUCGAUGAGCUGACUGCACGGGAACACAUGGAGCUCUACACCAGGCUUCGGGGAGUGCCCUGGAAAGAUGAAGCGAGGGUUAUAAACUGGGCACUUGACAAACUGGAACUCACUAAAUAUGCAGACAUGCCAGCGGGAACAUACAGUGGUGGGAACAAGAGAAAGCUCUCCACUGCCAUCGCCUUGAUCGGCUAUCCUUCCUUAAUUUUCUUGGAUGAGCCGACGACAGGAAUGGACCCCAAGGCACGGAGGUUUCUGUGGAACCUGAUCCUUGACAUCAUCAAGACGGGCCGUUCAGUAGUGCUGACAUCACACAGCAUGGAGGAAUGUGAGGCACUCUGCACCAGGCUGGCCAUCAUGGUGAACGGCCGUUUCCGAUGUCUCGGCAGCAUCCAGCACCUGAAGAACCGGUUUGGUGACGGGUACACGAUCACCGUCCGCACAAAGUCCAGUCUCUACGUGAAAGAAGUCGUGCGUUUUUUCAACCGGAAUUUCCCCGAAGCGGUGUUAAAGGAGAGGCACCAUACCAAAGUACAAUACCAGCUCAAGUCAGAGAACAUUUCCCUGUCCCAUGUUUUCAGUAAGAUGGAGCAAGUGGUCGACGUACUGGGAAUUGAAGACUACUCCGUCAGUCAAACCACGCUGGACAACGUAUUUGUGAACUUUGCUAAGAAACAGAGUGACAACUUGGAGCAGCAGGAGCUGGUCAACGCUGGGAGUAUGCACUCCCCCGUCAAAUGUAUCCUCAGCCUCCUACGGCCACGGGCCACGCCCACGGAGCUACAGGCGCUGACCAUCGACGAGCCCGAGGAGCUUGAGAGUGACGACGAAGGGUUAAUCAGCUUCGAGGAGGAACGAGCUCAGCUUUCAUUCAACACAGACACUUUGUGCUGAGAAGGUGAUGUUCCCCCACGAAGAUGUCCAUCUCUGAAGACCUUGCACAGGGCGGUGAAGACCUUUGCUUGACCAACGCCAGUGGUGGGAGUGAGGAUGGGAGGUGACUGAAUGUAUGGUCAAUAAUUCCUUCCAGCUGAACGACCCACUGCACGUGGAGACCUUGAAUCCAUCAGCCAGCUGGGGAUUGCCAACCGGGCUGCAAGAGUCGUCUUGGUGUCCCUGCCUGUCCCAUCCCGGGGAAGGAACGGUGAAGUCGCCCUCUCCCCCCCUCCCCCUCCCCUCCACCGCCCACAAUAAACACGAGUCCGUGACAUUUUAUUUAAUGCAGAGUUGUUUUAUUUUAAUGUACUGUCGAAAGUGGUGUGCCGAGAAGAAAUAUUUUUGAAGAGCAGAGCAGAAAUGAUGAGCAGAGCAUUUGGAAUCUUUAUUUUCAAUGGCAACAAGUGCACUGUAAACACUCAGAUGUAAAAGCCUUGCCUAGAUCAACAUGUGCAUGAAAUUUAUAGCCAAUGUAUAGACAUAGAAACAUAGAAUCUUAGAAAAUAGGUGCAGGAUUAGGCCAUUCGGCCCUUCGAGCCUGCACCGCCAUUCGAUAUGAUCAUGGCUGAUCAUCCAACUCAGUAUCCCAUACCUGCCUUCUCUCCAUACCUCCUGAUCCCUUUAGCCACAAGGGCCACAUCUAACUCCCUCUUAAAUAUAGCCAAUGAACUGUGGCCUCAACCACCCUCUGUGGCAGAGAAUUCCACAGAUUCACCACUCUCUGUGUGAAAAAUGAUUUUCUCAUCUCGGUCCUAAAAGAUUUCCCUCUUAUCCUUAAACUGUGACCCCUU